rnacentral:rRNA from 1 species
AUUGAACGCUGGCGGCAUGCCUUACACAUGCAAGUCGAACGGUAACAGGUUAAGCUGACGAGUGGCGAACGGGUGAGUAAUGUAUCGGAACGUGCCCAGUUGUGGGGGAUAACUGCUCGAAAGAGCAGCUAAUACCGCAUACGACCUGAGGGUGAAAGCGGGGGAUCGCAAGACCUCGCGCAAUUGGAGCGGCCGAUAUCAGAUUAGGUAGUUGGUGGGGUAAAGGCUCACCAAGCCGACGAUCUGUAGCUGGUCUGAGAGGACGACCAGCCACACUGGGACUGGGACACGGCCCAGACUCCUACGGGAGGCAGCAGUGGGGAAUUUGGGACAAUGGGCGCAAGCCUGAUCCAGCCAUGCCGCGUGCGGGAAGAAGGCCUUCGGGUUGUAAACCGCUUUUGUCAGGGAAGAAACGCUCUGGGUUAAUACCCUGGGGUAAUGACGGUACCUGAAGAAUAAGCACCGGCUAACUACGUGCCAGCCGCCGCAGUAA